GGGGAUGAUCGGUUUCGACAUUGCCUGUGAGACUGUGAGAAGCGGGCCGAGGAUCCAGGGUUAUCUCGUAAACGAUCUCUGGAAAACACAAGUGCCAAUUCAAAGCGCACUGACUUCGCUCUCGCUGCCUAGGCAGUAGAGCCCAUAAGUCCGUCAGACCGGGUUAGACCUCGCCCCGGACCCUGACGUCAUCUAGAGGACUGGCUGCGUAUCGACGCCUCGAGCGAUACGUGGGACUUGCACUCAGGCUGGGCCCGUCCACCUAGACGCCUGUGGCAAAGGUGGGGGCCGAGUAGAACGACUUCGCAGGAUACGCCCGUAGAAGGCAUGGAAUCUCAGCAGUGGACCCGGGUUCAAUUCCCGGCAUCUCCACCU
rfam:Leifsonia sp. Root60 contig_1, whole genome shotgun sequence.